UACGAAGGGGGCUAGCGUUGCUCGGAAUUACUGGGCGUAAAGGGAGCGUAGGCGGACAUUUAAGUCAGGGGUGAAAUCCCGGGGCUCAACCUCGGAAUUGCCUUUGAUACUGGGUGUCUUGAGUAUGAGAGAGGUGUGUGGAACUCCGAGUGUAGAGGUGAAAUUCGUAGAUAUUCGGAAGAACACCAGUGGCGAAGGCGACAUACUGGCUCAUUACUGACGCUGAGGCUCGAAAGCGUGGGGAUCAAACAGG
rnacentral:rRNA from 1 species